rnacentral:rRNA from 1 species
CUCAGGAUAGCUGGAGUUUUAUCAAACGAGUUAGAUCAGGUAAAGCGAAUGAUUAGAAGUAUAGGGGAAAGAAACUUUUCUUCACUUAUUCUCAAAACUUUAAAUAGGUUCUUUUCUUUUUUUUAAAUUUUAAUAUUAAAAAAAUAAUAGUAUAAUCAUUAAACUCUUAGUGGGCAAGUUCUGGUAAGCAGAACUGGCGAUGUGGGAUGAACCAAAUGUUAAAGUUAAAGUGCCUAAAAUUUUAAUGCUCAUUCUAGAUACCAUAAAAGGUGUGGCUUGAUCUAGACAGAAGGACGGUGGUCAUGGAAGUCGAAAUCCGCUAAGAAGUGUGUAAAAACUUACCUUUCGAAUUAAGUUGCCCUGAAAAUGGAUGGCGCUCGAGCGUCGGGCCUAUACCGGACCGUCGUCGCAGUGUGCGCUUCGCGGCAAACGAUGCGUCGACGAGUAGGCAGGUCGCCGCGGUGAGCUUAGAAGCCUGGGGCGCGAGCCUGGGUGGAGCCGCCGCGGGUGCAGAUCUUGGUGGUAGUAGC